rnacentral:rRNA from 1 species
CUUUAUCGGUACUCCGAAUGCANCCUAGAUUNUUAGUUUGAUCCUGGCUCAGAGUGACNCGCUGGCGGUAGGCCUAACACAUGCAAGUCGAACGGCAGCACAGGAGAGCUUGCUCUCUGGGUGGCGAGUGGCGGACGGGUGAGGAAUACAUCGGAAUCUACUCUGUCGUGGGGGAUAACGUAGGGAAACUUACGCUAAUACCGCAUACGACCUACGGGUGAAAGCAGGGGAUCUUCGGACCUUGCGCGAUUGAAUGAGCCGAUGUCGGAUUAGCUAGUUGGCGGGGUAAAGGCCCACCAAGGCGACGAUCCGUAGCUGGUCUGAGAGGAUGAUCAGCCACACUGGAACUGAGACACAGUCCAGACUCCUACGGGAGGCAGCAGUGGGGAAUAUUGGACAAUGGGCGCAAGCCUGAUCCAGCCAUACCGCGUGGGUGAAGAAGGCCUUCGGGUUGUNAAGCCCUUUUGUUUGGGAAAGAAAUCCAGACGCGGGCUAAUAUCCUGGUUGGGAUGACGGUAGCCCNUGU